rnacentral:tRNA from 1 species
CGGGUGCGAGGGGCACUGGCGACCCCACCUGAUUUGGGAUCAGGAGUCACCGCGUUCGACUCGCGGGUACCCGACCA